GGCCUCGUAGCUCAGCUGGUAGAGCAUGCGCGUACAAAGCACAGGCGGUGUCCAUGCGUGGGUUCGAAUCCCACCGAGGCUA
rnacentral:tRNA from 1 species